GAGCAUGAUCAUGAUCAUAAUGAUGCAGAUAAUCGACACAUUUAUCAAGGAACAAUUCUAAACGGUUUUGGUGAAGUUAUACACGACGGUGUUCUUGAAGGAGGAGCUGAUAAUAAGGGACAUUUCGGCACUGAUGUCAUUGUUGGAUAA
rnacentral:misc_RNA from 1 species